rnacentral:rRNA from 1 species
UACGAAGGGGGCUAGCGUUGUUCGGAUUUACUGGGCGUAAAGCGCACGUAGGCGGACCGAUCAGUCAGGGGUGAAAUCCCAGAGCUCAACUCUGGGACUGCCUUUGAUACUGUCGAUCUGGAGUAUGGAAGAGGUGAGUGGAAUUCCGAGUGUAGAGGUGAAAUUCGUAGAUAUUCGGAGGAACACCAGUGGCGAAGGCGGCUCACUGGUCCAUUACUGACGCUGAGGUGCGAAAGCGUGGGGAGCAAACAGG